rnacentral:misc_RNA from 1 species
ACCCUCUUUGCAGCUCUGAAAUGACACUCACUUGGAGCUUGCAUAAAUCUUGAAAGCAUGCUAAUUGCAUACAUUGCAUCAGGUCUGGUCACUGAUAAAUAAAGAAGGCAGCCAAUAAGACUUCUAUACACACUUGCAUCAACCUUCUUCCCUGUAUCCAUGAUGCUUAAUUUCUCAUUAGGAACUAGAGGAGUGUUAACUUCUUUACAAUUUUGCAUCCCAAACUUCACCAAGACUUCCAUCAAAUACUUCUUUUAACACAAGAAAAAACCUUG